GUGGCGAAACCCUGGUGUUGCAAGAGUUUCUUUCAGAUUGCUUCAUUCUAAGUUCCCUGUUCAUUCCCACAUGUUUUCCAGAUAUACAAGGACCCUUUUUUGUCCAUUGUCACUUUAAAGAAGAACAUGGAUAGAUGAUGACAUCACGGCCCAGCUGUGGAGAUGCUGGGAGCUUCACUGGGGUGAGAAUGCAUGCCGUUACCAGGAGAACCCCUUCUAACAACGUAAGGAAGGAUGUGGCUGGACAUCACCUGGCUUCACCCAAAGUAUGCCAAGUUAUUGUUUUUGUAAUUGUUAUUAUGGAUGGUUGCCAGAGCAGCUGUUUUAAAAGUUGCAGGACAAUAUAUAGUUGGUCUCCACCUGAGUUCCGGCAGCUCCCGACUUCCACCACUUUAAUGACAACAUUGUUUUCCACAAUACGCUGUCUAUCCUCUUGCUGUUGUUAUUUGUCGUAUUACCUUUGGCAAUAAGCAUGCAGGACAUACCCCAGAGACAGUAAAUAGCUUGGUUCCCAUUGCAAACGGACUUAAGACUGACCUGGGAUGAGAACUCCCCUACCAUCGAUGAGGGUCUGGGCCUCCAUGCUGGCUAUCCAGUGAGACUAUACCUUGUAAAGUCUUCAUGUUUAAUUAGAGAGCAACUCACUCCUGUUAACCCUUUUUUAUAACACUACGUGCUUCACUGGUCUUCCUUUUGGGUUGUGGUUAUCGUUUAACGUGGCUUAGCGUUAUGUCCUGUACACCUGGUUAUUGCAACACAGGUGGAUUUUGGGACUUAAAACCUCUUUGUUUGCAAGAUCUAUACUCCAUGCAUGUUGCUGUGCACCCCAGAAAGUAAGGAUUUGGAUAUAAGAAUAUAAUCAAUCCUGGAAUAUGUCUUGUAUCUUGGGGAGUAAUAAGUGAAUUAUUUUGUUGUUGGGUUAAAAAUGUGGACUAUGUCUAAUAAACUAAGCUCACCAAUAAAUUGCUGUAGAGUA